rnacentral:tRNA from 1 species
CGGGGGAUCGUCCGUACUUCUUCGGAUGAUGCGGAACCACAAAAAACGCUGUUUUCCCUGCUUUUGGAGCAGGAUGUCGUAGGUUCGAAUCCUAUCGCCCCGACCA